rnacentral:rRNA from 1 species
UGCCAGCAGCCGCGGUAAUACGGAGGGUGCAGGCGUUGUUCGGAAUCAUUGGGCGUAAAGCGAGCGUAGGCGGGUCGGUAAGUCGGGUGUGAAAGCCCUCGGCUCACCCGAGGAAGUGCAUUCGAAACUACCGACCUUGAGUACCGGAGAGGAAAGUGGAAUUCCCGGUGUAGAGGUGAAAUUCGUGGAUAUCGGGAGGAACACCAGUGGCGAAGGCGACUUUCUGGACGGACACUAACGCUAAGGCUCGAAAGCGUGGGGAGCAAACAGGAUUAGAUA